GAUGAACGCUGGCGGCGUGCCUAAUACAUGCAAGUCGAACGAACAGAUCAUGAGCUUGCGGCGUUCACGUGAGGGGCGGGCGGGUGAGUUACACGUGUAUCCCGUACCUAUAAUUCGGAUAUAAUCAGGGGAAAGGGGCUCUAAUAGCGUAUAACAUAUUGCACCGCAGGGGGGGAUGGAAAGAUUCGGCGGUGCGGGCAGGUAUCGAUGCAUCUGGGCCGUAUUAGCUGGUUGUUGAGGUAACGGCCUUCCAAGGCAACCAUGCGUAGCCGAGCGGAGAGGGUGAUAGCCGACCUGGGAACUGAGACACGGUCAAGACGACUACGGGAGGCAGCAGUAGGGAAUCGUCCGCAAUGGGCGAAAGUCUGACGGAGCAACGCCGCGUGAGUGAUGACGGUCUUCGGAUCGUAAAAAUCUGUUAUCAGGGAAGAACCAAUGUGGAAGUAACUGUGCACAUCUUGACGGUACUUGAUAAGAAAGCCACGGCUAACUACGUG
rnacentral:rRNA from 1 species